GGCGUCAUAGCCAAGUGGUAAGGCGUGGGUCUGCAACACCCUGAUCCCCGGUUCAAAUCCGGGUGACGCCUCCA
rnacentral:tRNA from 1 species